rnacentral:sRNA from 1 species
CUUGUUCUUGGCAAAGGUUGAAAUACAACCCUUAACAAUUUAUGUGUGGUAGCAGUUGGAAGUGAAACAGAAGGACUGAGUGGCAGUUGUUUGGUUUCAUGCUCAAAGCCUAACCUCCUCGAGACCAUCAGUAGGCAGUGGGCUCCACUGACAUUCCUGUUUUCUCCACCUCCUCACUGAUAUGGACGCUUACCACCAUGCUUUGGUGUUUAUGAGGGCGUGAAGAUCUGAACUCGAGUGCUGCACAGGAAAAUGGCAGGACUUCAUCUGGACCAUUUACUCCUCUAUUCAUCAUUCUGUGCUAUGUUCUCAGAGCAUCUGCUUCAGCAUCCUUCACUAGUCACAGCCGACCUGGUGUCGAUUUGCAUCUGUAAGGACUGUUUCUGGCACAGACAAAGAACAGAAGGACACAGAAAGUAGAGCCUCUAGCCACUGCUGUUUGCCUGUGAGCCUUCCUCCUGGGCAUGUCCUUGGCAUCAUUCCCACAGAUCCUGACAUCAAUAAAGGUGUUGGAUCAGAAAUGGGAAUCUCCUCUGAUCUUAUCAGAAAAAUCUGCUUCCUAUUUUACUAGAUCCACAUAGCAUCCAUAUAACCCGCCUUUCUGGAAUAAACACAGCUGCAAACAACUUCCAGGUGGGGGAGCAUAAGGGUAGAGGACAAACAUAAAGAACAAGGAGAUGAGUGGGGCUGUAGUCCAUGAUGUGAAACUCACAAAGGAUCAAUAAAACCCUAAAAGAGUCGAGGAUGGAAUGACUGUGGGAUGUCUUACAGGGUAAAGGAGCUUAAUGCUCAGGCUGCCAACAUAAACUCAAUUCCUGGGACCCACAUGGUAGAAGGUGAGAACUGAUUUCUGCAAAGUGUUUUCUGACCUUUACAUGCACACGCACACACACACACACACACACACACACACACAGACACACACACAC